UACGUAGGGCGCAAGCGUUGUCCGGAAUUAUUGGGCGUAAAGAGCUCGUAGGUGGUUUGUUACGUCUGCUGUGAAAACCUAGGGCUUAACCCUGGGCCUGCAGUGGAUACGGGCAGACUAGAGUGCGGUAGGGGAGACUGGAAUUCCUGGUGUAGCGGUGAAAUGCGCAGAUAUCAGGAGGAACACCGGUGGCGAAGGCGGGUCUCUGGGCAACAACUGACGCUGAGGAGCGAAAGCGUGGGGAGCGAACAGG
rnacentral:rRNA from 1 species